rnacentral:rRNA from 1 species
UACGUAGGUGGCAAGCGUUGUCCGGAAUUAUUGGGCGUAAAGCGCGCGCAGGCGGUUCUUUAAGUCCGAUGUGAAAGCCCACGGCUCAACCGUGGAGGGUCAUUGGAAACUGGGGAACUUGAGUACAGAAGAGGAAAGCGGAAUUCCACGUGUAGCGGUGAAAUGCGUAGAGAUGUGGAGGAACACCAGUGGCGAAGGCGGCUUUCUGGUCUGUAACUGACGCUGGAGGCGACGAAAGGCGUGGGGAGCAAACAGGG